rnacentral:rRNA from 1 species
UGGGCGCAACCUGAACCAGCCACGUCGCGUGAAGGAAGACGGCCCUACGGGUUGUAAACUUCUUUUGCAAGGGAAUAAAGUGUAGUACGUGUCCUAUUUUGCAUGUACCUUGCGAAUAAGGAUCGGCUAACUCCGUG